rnacentral:rRNA from 1 species
UACAGAGGGGGCAAGCGUUGUUCGGAAUUACUGGGCGUAAAGGGCGCGUAGGCGGCCUUCUAAGUCGAACGUGAAAUCCCCGGGCUCAACCCGGGAACUGCGUCCGAUACAGGAAGGCUUGAAUCCGGGAGAGGGAUGCGGAAUUCCAGGUGUAGCGGUGAAAUGCGUAGAUAUCUGGAGGAACACCGGUGGCGAAGGCGGCUACCUGGACAAUUGCUGACGCUCAGGCACGAAAGCGUGGGGAGCAAAAGGG